GUGGGGAAUAUUGGACAAUGGGGGGAACCCUGAUCCAGCCAUGCCGCGUGUGUGAAGAAGGCCUUUUGGUUGUAAAGCACUUUAAGCGAGGAGGAGGCUACCGAGAUUAAUACUCUUGGAUAGUGGACGUUACUCGCAGAAUAAGCACCGGCUAACUCUGUGCCAGCAGCCGCGGUAAUACAGAGGGUGCAAGCGUUAAUCGGAUUUACUUGGCGUAAAGCGGGCGUAGGUGGCCAAUUAAGUAAAAUGUGAAAUCCCCAGGCUUAACUUGGGAAUUGCAUUCGAUACUGGGUGGCUAGAGGAUGGGAGAGGAUGGUAGAAUUCCAGGUGUAGCGGUGAAAUGCGUAGAGAUCUGGAGGAAUACCGAUGGCGAAGGCAGCCAUCUGGCCUAAUACUGACACUGAGGUGCGAAAGCAUGGGGAGCAAACAGGAUUAGAAACCCGGGUAGUCC
rnacentral:rRNA from 1 species